rnacentral:lncRNA from 1 species
UAGAAUGAGGUGAGGAGAGAAGAGAGAGCUCUACACGUCAUUACAGUCCUUCCCUUUGGGUGUGGCACUUACUGCCUGUGCUGCUAUACAGCCAUAGCCAUUGCUGCCUUUAUGCUAUGUGGAUUCCAUCCUCCUUUUACCCAAGUGCCUUUUCAUUCAUGAGAUCACAAGUAAGAAGGUGUACUCACAGCAAUAGGAUGUGUGCCAAAAGAAGACAGGGAGGUCAGGGGAGCCUUCCAGGAGAUGUAAUGAGAGAUGCUCGAAGAUUGGCAGUGGUUUGAGUUACAGAUAUGAAAGGAAGACACCCAAUCCUUGAGCUCAUGUGCCAGAUUUGGGCAUCUCCACAUCUGGAAGCAGAUGUUUAAAUAGAAUAGUAGCAACCGAAGGAAUGUGGCAGCAAUGCAGAAUUUAUUCAGCCUGUAGAAUCAAGCCUUAAGCUGUGAGGCUCAGAAUCUCCACUUCUGUAAAAUGAAUAAAGCAAUUUAUUCACUUAUUUUGCCUGUGCUUUUCCCACAUUGACUGAGGAUUCAAGAACUGGCUGAUGGCUCAGACGAAGAUCACCUUAGUUCAAAGUCUAUUUGGAGAGGCAGUUGAGC